GAUGAACGCUGGCGGCGUGCCUAAUACAUGCAAGUCGAGCGAACAGAUAAGGAGCUUGCUCCUUUGACGUUAGCGGCGGACGGGUGAGUAACACGUGGGUAACCUACCUAUAAGACUGGGAUAACUUCGGGAAACCGGAGCUAAUACCGGAUAACAUCUGGAACCGCAUGGUUCUAAAGUGAAAGAUGGCUUUGCUAUCACUUAUAGAUGGACCCGCGCCGUAUUAGCUAGUUGGUAUGGUAACGGCUUACCAAGGAGACGAUACGUAGGCGACCUGAGAGGGUGGUCGGCCACACUGGAACUGAGACAAGGGCCAGACUCCUACGGGAGGCAGCAGGAGGGAAUCUUCCGCAAUGGGCGAAAGCCUGACGGAGCAACGCCGCGUGAGUGAUGAAGGGUUUCGGCUCGUAAAGCACUGUUAUUAGGGAAGAACAACUGUGUAAGUAACUGUGCACGUCUUGACGGUACCUAAUGAGAAAGCCACGGCUAACUACGUG
rnacentral:rRNA from 1 species